rnacentral:rRNA from 1 species
CAAUAGCGUAUAUUAAAGUUGUUGCGGUUAAAAAGCUCGUAGUUGGAGUUCUGCCAGGUGCCGCCUGUCCGCCCCAGUGGUGAGUACGUGGCGCGCAUUUGGCCCUUUCAAGGGGAGCGUAUCUGCACUUUAUUGUGUGGUGCGGGAUCCUUGACUUUUACUUUGAGGAAAUAGGAGUGUUCCAAGCAGGCUCUCGUCGUGCACAGCUCAGCAUGGAAUAAUAGCAUUGGACCUCGAUUCUAAGCUGUUGGUUGCCAGAAGCGAGGUAAUGAUGAAGAGGGAUAGUUGGGGGCAUUCGUAUUUAACUGUCAGGGGUGAAAUUCUUGGAUUUGUUAAAGACGGACUACUGCGAAAGCAUCUGCCAUGGAUGUUUUCAUUGA